rnacentral:rRNA from 1 species
AGAGUUUGAUCCUGGCUCAGAACGAACGCUGGCGGCGUGCCUAACACAUGCAAGUCGAACGUGAAAGUCCUUCGGGAUGAGUAAAGUGGCGCACGGGUGAGUAAUGCGUAGAUAAUCUGCCUGGUGAUCUGGGAUAACAUCUCGAAAGGGGUGCUAAUACCGGAUAAGCCCACGGAGUCUUCGGACUUUGCGGGAAAAGGGGGGGACCUUCGGGCCUUCUGUCACCAGAUGAGUCUACGUACCAUUAGCUAGUUGGUGGGGUAAGAGCCCACCAAGGCUACGAUGGUUAGCUGGUCUGAGAGGAUGAUCAGCCAUACUGGAACUGAGACACGGUCCAGACUCCUACGGGAGGCAGCAGUGGGGAAUUUUGCGCAAUGGGGGAAACCCUGACGCAGCAACGCCGCGUGAGUGAUGAAGGCC